UUCGAUGAAGAACGCAGCGAAUUGCGAUAUGUAAUGUGAAUUGCAGAAUUCAGUGAAUCAUCGAAUCUUUGAACGCAUAUUGCACCCUCUGGUUAUUCUGGAGGGUAUAUCUGUUUGAGUGUCAUUAA
rnacentral:rRNA from 1 species